rnacentral:lncRNA from 1 species
AUCAAUGUUUUUCAUACAAUAUGAAAUACAUAAAUCACCUUUGUGCGUAUGCAUAAAGGAUUGUAUUUACGCAUGAUUUCUUUGGGAGUCAAAGGGUACGUUCCCUUUGAGAAGAGCAACUUGCUAGUCUCACUAGACUCGUCCUUCUAAUUGAAGUUUAUCAUCAUAUGAGAAACUUCCUAGCAUCUUUUGUCUAUUAUUAGGGAUUGAUAUAAUCAAAAUUAUAUCUUGAAAUCUAUCAUUAUAGAUUUACUUCCCAUGUUUAUAGACUAUGUCUCCCAUAUACAUUCUAUCGUUUAUAGAAUGUUUAAAGUCAUAACUUUAACGAAGAAGUAUUCUUUUCAUUUCCAAAAUUAAUAUAUCAUAUAUACAUUCAUAUAUAUCACAUAUAUAUAUAUAUAUACAAAUUUAGGAAUAUGAUUAACUCCCACUAAUCUUUUGUAAACCUA